UGUCCAAUGCGGGAAUCGAACCCGGGUCGUAGUGGUUGAAAACCAAAUGGUUUAACCAGCCUUCCCUUAAGAGGAC